CCACCCUUCACUUCUUACUCUGCUGUGAUUGGUGCAGCCAUCGGGGGCAUGAUCAUAGCAGUAGUAGCCACAGUGCUGCUCUUCAUGUACUUCGUGAGGCAUUGUAACAACAGCCCACGACUGCAUGAGUUGAUAUUCGGCAGUAGGAACAGCCUGUCCAGGGAGAACAUAAACUUCCCUGAGGAUGAGGUCACUGGUGGGGCAGAAGAUGUGGACAGAAGAGAACACAGCCCAGGACCAAUAGUGGCAACCACAAGACCGACACUACAAGGCCCUCCGACCGCAUCAUAACAGUUAUGGCUACAAGUUCCAGAUCUGUCAAAUUGUGUGUUUAACGGUUUUAAUCUAAUGAAGAGCCAACUCAUUUCACAAUUUAUAAAUUAAAAUAAUUAGAUCAACAGUUAUUGGUUUGACUAA
ensembl:lncRNA